rnacentral:rRNA from 1 species
UAUAAAUGUAAUUUAUUAAGCUAAAUUAGUAUUAGUUAUGUUCUUGAAAAUUAAAGAUUUUGGCGGUAUUUUAGUCUAUUCAGAGGAACCUGUUCUGUAAUUGAUAAUCCACGAUUUAAUUUACUUUUUUUAUUAAUUUACAUAUCAUCGUAAUUUAAAUAUUUUAUAAGAAUUUUAAUAUUUAAAAAUUUUAAUAAAAAAAUAAAUCAGAUCAAGGUGUAGUUUAUAAGAAAGAAGAAAUGGGUUACAUUAAUAAAUAAUUUAGGAUUAUNAUUUUUAAAAUAAUAUGAAUUUGGAUUUGAAAGUAAUUUUAAUUAAUUAAUUAAUUUGAUUUUAGCUCUAAAAUAUGC